UUAAUUGAAACCAAAAUAGAGGUAUAUCACUGUUAAUGAUAUUAUUGGGAAAACCCCCAAUUAAA
rnacentral:tRNA from 1 species